UACGGAGGGGGCUAGCGUUGUUCGGAAUUACUGGGCGUAAAGCGCACGUAGGCGGCUUUGUAAGUUAGAGGUGAAAGCCCGGGGCCCAACUCCGGAAUUGCCUUUAAGACUGCAUCGCUAGAAUUGUGGAGAGGUAAGUGGAAUUCCGAGUGUAGAGGUGAAAUUCGUAGAUAUUCGGAAGAACACCAGUGGCGAAGGCGGCUUACUGGUCCGGUUCUGACGCUGAGGCGCGAAAGCGUGGGGAGCAAACAGG
rnacentral:rRNA from 1 species